rnacentral:sRNA from 2 species
CGGUCACCUCUGCCGAAUCCGUGCCGCCCUCCCGGCGGUUCGGAACCGGGGACCCACACGCGUAACCGGGGUGAAUCGGUCCGUGCCCGCGCAUGACGGACCGUAGGACAGCCUUCCGUUCCCGUCCGAACCCGACAGCUAACCCGGUAGGCGGUCCACGGAAGGAGAU